CAGCAGUGGGGAAUAUUGCACAAUGGGGGAAACCCUGAUGCAGCGACGCCGCGUGGAGGAAGAAGGUUUUCGGAUUGUAAACUCCUGUCGUUAGGGACGAUAAUGACGGUACCUAACAAGAAAGCACCGGCUAACUACGUGCCAGCAGCCGCGGUAAAACGUAGGGUGCAAGCGUUGUCCGGAAUUACUGGGUGUAAAGGGAGCGCAGGCGGACCGGCAAGUUGGAAGUGAAAACUAUGGGCUCAACCCAUAAAUUGCUUUCAAAACUGCUGGCCUUGAGUAGUGCAGAGGUAGGUGGAAUUCCCGGUGUAGCGGUGGAAUGCGUAGAUAUCGGGAGGAACACCAGUGGCGAAGGCGGCCUACUGGGCACCAACUGACGCUGAGGCUCGAAAGCAUGGGUAGCAAACAGGAUUAGAUACCCUGGUAGUCCAUGCCGUAAACGAUGAUUACUAGGUGUUGGAGGAUUGACCCCUUCAGUGCCGCAGUUAACACAAUAAGUAAUCCACCUGGGGAGUACGACCGCAAGGUUGAAACUCAAAGGAAUUGACGGGGGCCCGCACAAGCAGUGGAGUAUGUGGUUUAAUUCGAAGCAACGCGAAGAACCUUACCAGGUCUUGACAUCCGAUGCAUAGCACAGAGAUGUGUGAAAUCCUUCGGGACAUCGAGACAGGUGGUGCAUGGUUGUCGUCAGCUCGUGUCGUGAGAUGUUGGGUUAAGUCC
rnacentral:rRNA from 1 species